ACAAGGGAACCUUCCAGGAAUCUAUGUGGUGUUGCUAAGACUCCUAGCAACAGGGGAUAUGGAACUUGAACUGGCUGCCUCCUAUAACCAGGCAAGCCUUCUAAUGGGGUGAUGGGGACAUCAACUCAGCUAUGAAACUUUUGACCCACAAUUCGUUCUGCCUUCAAGAUGUGCAGGGAUAAAGAUGGAGCAGAAAUUGAGGAAAUGGCUAACCAAGUACUGGCCGAAUUUGAGACUCAGCCCACGAGAGAGAGAGAGAGCCAACCCCUGACUCUAUUAAUGAUAUUCUGUUAUUCUUGCAGACAGGAGCCCAGCAUAACUGUCUUCUGAGAAGCUUACCCCAGAAGCUACUGGAAACAGUAGAGACCUACAGCCAAACCAUAGGUGGAACAUGGGGAAUAUUGUGGAAGAGGAGAAAGGGUUGAAGUAGCCAGAGGUCAAGGACAGCACAAGAAAACCGACAGAGAAAACUAACCUUGGCCCACAGGGACUCACGGAGACUGAUCCAAAUAGCAUACAUGGAAUGGACCUACAUCCCCUACCCAUAUGUAACAGAUAUGCAACUUGGUCUUCAUGUGGGACUCCUAACAACUAGAGCAGGGGCUGUCUAUGACUAUGCUGCUUGCCUUACAGUCCCUUUUCCCUAAUUGGACUGACUAGUCUAGCUUCAAUAGGAGAAGAUGUGCAUCCUCUUACUGAAACUUGAUAUAGAAAGAUUUUAAUGCCAUCCAAAGUAUCUCCAGAACUACGCUAUAAUCUUAGUUAUUAAAUGAGGGUGAAGAGCACACAAACGUUUCUUACCAACAUUUGGAGAUUUGCAACUAAUGCUAAAACAAUUAAUUGUGAUAUUGCCAUGAAGAGAUAAAUACUUGGGCAUGAAUUACAUUUCUUUUAUUUUCCAAUAUCAUCAACAGACUACUUAGCUGGAAGUUUGCUCAGAAGGAAAGCUGUAGUCAUUGCUGCAGUUUCUUGGUUUCCUCCCAGUUUCUGUUACACUGAAUCUUUUUGACAUCGUCAGAAGACUACAAAGCAAGUUCAUGUCCAGUUAUUGCUGCUCAAAGGUCCAUGUGUUUGGGUAGUAACUGGAGUACCUGAAUCCUACAAGUUGCCAUAUCCUCAUAAAAGAAUGAUUGUCUUUCAUAUGCAACUCUCUGCUGCCAAUAUUUCUCCAAUAGGGGAAGAGCCUGGGAGAAUAUUGUCUACACAAGAAUUUGAGUGGCUUAAUCUUGUCCAAGUCUCAUAAAGCACCACAGAUACUGAGAGGCUCAGAGUCUCAUUUGGACGAAAGAGCAAGGGAUUUGGGCAGAAAAAUCUCAGUGCAUGCCCUGUAUGUGACUUUGCUCAUCUCCACGAUGGGGAACAACAUGACAGCCACAGAUCCUCUCUAUCUCCAUCUUCUCCUAACUUCAUGAUACGUCUCUCAGCAAACGUCAUCAAGAAAGACAACAAGGAUCCCAAAAUGAAAAUUGAAACAGACAAAGAAACAGAAAUAAAACCAUGAAGAUAAAAUACACAAACACAAAAUUAAAAGUGAACAAAAAAACUCAUGCAAUCCACUUUGUAUUGGCCAACUAACUGGGCAUAGGGCCUGAUAUGUCUGCUGCUACUUCACUGGAGAAAACCUUGGUCUCCCUUUCCCAGCAGCUACCAACUACACAGAACUUGUCAGUGAGGACAACUGGUACAGUCAGUUCCCUUUUAUUUUGGAGGUUCUGGAAAUCACACUUAGGUCGUCUACUUGACAAUUUAUCCACUGAUGAGCUAUUUUACUUCUUUUGUUUUUCACUUUAAUUGAACGUCUAAUGUCAACUCAACUUCUAAUCAUUUUUUUUUGUGAUUAGACCUUUAAUAUGUAGCUCAUACUGGUAUUGAAUCAGUCUCCUGAGAAUACUAGUCUGAACUUUGG